CUGACUGUAUGUUUUAUUGAGUGACUAUUUCUCUCUCUCAACAGGGGUGUGAUUGGGAAACAGGGUUACCAGUGUCAAGUGUGCACGUGUGUAGUCCAUAAGCGCUGCCACGAGCUCAUCAUCACAAAAUGUGCUGGGAUGAAGAAAGACAAAGAGGACACUACACCAGAAGAGGUUGGAUCCCAGCGGUUCAGCGUUAAUAUGCCUCAUAAGUUUGGUAUUCACAACUUCAAAGUCCUAACCUUCUGUGACCACUGUGGAUCGCUACUGUGGGGCCUGCUCAGACAAGGGCUGCAAU